UAUGGAAGAAGAGCACUCUUUGGCCCGUUGCGACUGGGACAGUGGACAGCACCCAGGUGUCCUGUAAUGAAAAUGCUCUUGACACCAAUGCAUCCUAGCAUCAGAGCUUCGGGAAGCCUUCUCAAGUGUGCAUGGGGAGUACCAUGUCUUUCAUCAAUAACGAAACCUUCUAAUGUCUUGUAAGACAUGCUGCCAAGAGAUGUGCCAUUCUAUUGUAAAAGAUCAGUAGCUUCCUUUAUUGACAUGUAUAUUCUACAUAGAACAUUGAGCUACGGAAGACUCCCACCUAAGGGAAUUAGUUUAACACUUUCAGAUAAAGGAGAGAAGAGCACCCUCUGGUGUUGCCACAGAGGCAAGUGCUACCACACAGGCAUGCUGCAGUGAAUUUAACUCAUCCUGUGUUCCUGCAACCGUUGUUUAAGGAUGCUAUUCUGAAAAGACUGUGGAGGAAGAAAACCCUUUACUCUGUUGUUCAGGGAGAAACUGACACCACUCAACUGCCUGGCACUGAAAAUGUGGCAUCCAGUCCACUUUACCACCAGUGUUACGGAAACCAUCUCUGAUAAGGAUGAUUGAGGAAGACUACUCUUUGGCUUGUUGACACCAGCAUAGCUGACACACCCAGAUAUCUGUUUGGUCUCCUGUGAACUUUCAACCAGGAUUUAAGGAUGCCAUUCUGGUUAAAAGCUCAAACAACUUCAAGGAAACUUCAGGGAAAAGAGAAGGCCUGGAGUCUGAUCCUCCACUUCAGAGAAGAGGGGUCAGCUUACUGUAUGAUUAAGUAACACAAGGCACAGUAGCCAUCUUUUUCAUUAUGUUGCAACACUGAUCACGUGCCUCGAUAAAAUGGCUGAUUCAACAAGAUGAUGGCAACACGAAGGGGAGACUUUGGAUUGUCUAUUUAAAAUCUAGGUAAUAAGUAAUUAAUAAAAACUCUAUCUUAAGUGCACUUUCACAUGCUUUUUGUUUAUAAUAAACAACAAACUUCCUAACUUUGUUGCAAUAGGCUUGACUACCAUUUCAUUUGGCCAAAUGCACUUUCCCCAGUAAACUUAAAAUAACAAGAACAACAAGAACAAAAAUCCCUGUCCUUUCAUAUACUAAGAAAGAGGAUUGGCUACUGAAACAGUUCAUUGCAAGACACAUGAAGACAACAUACUGUGGCAUGAGUUGUUUUUUAAUUUGUUGUGCUGUUACUAAAGUUCUGAGGGCUGCAGUUAAAACAUUCCAAUUUCUCCCUUCCAUCUUUAUUGAUUCUCAAGAUUUUGCACAGAAAACUCUUUGGGGGCUAGAACAGCAGUAAUUGCAUCACACUGUUUCAAAGACUUCAAGUUUCAAAAGCAAAUCAUUAAAAAAAAAAAAAACAGUUCCUGAUUUGAGU